AGAGGGAGAGCGUCGACUGUUUGGCUAUGCAACUGUGUGUUGCUUCAACAUUUUAACUAUGCCUAUUGGUUAUUUUAGACGGUUUGAAUCUGAGGUCUGAUGCAUAUCUUUGAAUCAAGCGUUUCCUACUGUCAAAGAAAACAUGCAGUUCCUUAUUCCCCAGGAGAUUCGGCGGUCAUAGUGAAUAACUGUGCAAUGAAGCCUGCUGGAAAUCCAUCUGCCGUAGAAAAUUGAAUGACAUAAUGCAACUCUGUUAUUGAAUGGAGACGUCUUUGGAGAAACAGUUUCCUGUAAUUAAAUCUCAGCUUUGGAUUAAUGGAGUAAUCGAAUGCCGCAGCAAAUAAACUCGAGAACAGCUCCCGUCUCUCGAAAUGGAGUUCAGCGUUUCUCUCCAUUAAACAUAUUAGAACAUGUGCGCCGCUUAUACACACUGUAUGUAUGUGUAUAUAUACAGCUUUUGAAUAAGUUUUUAUUCCAACAAAAAUCUGAUAUUGAGAACAAGUUCUGCCUGCGUUCUGCACAGUGUUUUUGCUUUGUUUUCCCUGCUAUUCUUUUUUAUUUGAAAGUCAUAACUUUUAAUUAUAAAAAAUGUGCAAAAUAAUUAUAUUCUUUAUAUUAUUAUAAUGUUACUUGGAGUUAAUUAGUUUCCAAAAUAUGUUCUUAUUACAUGCGAGUUCAUUAAACAUAUAAUGUUUAGACUAGUAUAAGAUGGCCUUCUGUUUAAAAAAAAUAGUCCAAAAUGUUGUGCACAGCAUAGUAUUUCACUUAGGCUACAUAUUUACUUUUUGGGCAGUAUAUUCUCAUUUAAAAUAGGUUUUGUAAAAUUUUAAAUAAACUUUUAAUAAAAAUUUGAUAA